rfam:Amycolatopsis australiensis strain DSM 44671 genome assembly, contig: Ga0074771_106
GGGGGUGAACGGUUUCGACUUUGGACGUUGAGUCAGGGGAAGCGUGCCGGUGCAGGCGAGAGACCACCGUUAAGCGUCAUCGCAACCAAAUAAGCGCCGACUCCAGUCAGCGCGAGUACGCCCUCGCCGCCUGAGCGAGUGCGUCUCUGUCGGCCCGGGUUCGCCUCCGGCCCGGGUACCGGCAUCAGCUAGGAGGCUCAGCGGUUGUCCCGGCCACGGGGAACAGCCGUGAAGCAAACAGUGGCUGGGCUCGUCACCUCAGCUUGUUCGCGUGACUGAGGGAGCCGAGUAGAGACGUAGCGGACUGCGCACGGAGAAGCCCUGUCGAGGCGCCAGAGGACCCGGGUUCAAUUCCCGGCACCUCCACUU